rnacentral:rRNA from 1 species
CUACUUAGUGAACUCGAUGGCCCAUGCGUUAGCGUAGAUGUAAGUGGUCUUCAUGGUGGCGAACCCGGCGCCCUUGGCCAGGGCCUCGAACUCCCUCUCGUACCUCUCCCUGCCACCUGGGUUGUGCGCGAGCAUGAUCAUGUCGACAUGGAACACCCCCUGAGCCUUAGGCGUGGCUUCGGGGUUCACCGGCAGGAUGCACUCCACGAGCACCACCUUGCCGUGCGGCGGCAAGGCGUUGUAGCAGUUCUUGAGCAGCGUCCCGCAGUGCUCGUCGCUCCAGUCGUGGAGGAUCCACUUCAUGAGGAUGGCGUCGCCCGAGGGCACCUUCUGAAACAUGUCGCCGCCGACGUGGGUGACACCCGGGAACGGCGGCGCCUCGGAGAUGACGUGGGGAAGGUCGAAGUUGAUGCCCUUGAUGGUGGGGUAGUGAGCGGUGAUGGCGGCCACGGUGGCGCCGACGCCCCCGCCCACGUCGACGAGGGUGUUGAGGCCCUCGAAGCCCUUGUAGGACUCGAGGAGCUUCUUGGUGAUGAUGAUGGAAUGGUUCUUCAUCCCCUCGUUGAACACGUGGUUGAAGCGCGGGUCCGUGCCGUGGUACUCGAACGCCGACAUCCCGUACGCCUUGUUGAAUGGGAUGCCACCGUCGAGGACCGCAUCCUUGAGAUAGUACCUGAACCAGCUCUCCAUGAGGACCUUGUCCUGGUUCAUGAGCGCCAGCGCCGACAUGGAGACGCCGUCCUCGUUGGCGGUGAGGUACUUGCACACCGGCGCGGCGCCGUACCGCCGAGAGAGGCGGCCGUCCUUGCCCUCCUCCGUCUUGCACGACACCACGUUGUACGAGGCCAGCAGACGGAGCAUGCGGUCCACCAUGUCCGGCGCUUCCGGAUUCGCCGCGGAAGGGAGCUUGGCAGCAACCUCGGCGGAAGUCAGCAACUUGCCGCCGGCGGCCAUCAGGGUCUCGAGGAGUCCCAGCUCGAUGGCGUUCUUCAGCGUCAUCGGGAGGAUGGACGACGAGACGAGCUGGAGAGCGUACAUGCACGCAUCCUCGUCGGCGCCGGCGGCAAUGGAGCCCAUCUCUGCUUGCUUCUGCCUCUCCGGAGCCGAGCUGCUGCUACGUGGCGGUGA